AUUGAACGCUGGCGGCAGGCCUAACACAUGCAAGUCGAACGAGUGGCGGACGGGUGAGUAAUGUAUGGGAAACUGCCUGAUGGCGGGGGAUAACUACUGGAAACGGUAGCUAAUACCGCAUACCAUCGGAUGUGCCCCGAUGGGAUUAGCUAGUUGGUGGGGUAACGGCUCACCUAGGCGACGAUCCCUAGCUGGUCUGAGAGGAUGACCAGCCACACGGGAACUGAGACACGGUCCAGACUCCUACGGGAGGCAGCAGUGGGGAAUUUUGGACAAUGGGGGAAAUCCUGAUCCAGCCAUGCCGCGUGUGUGAAGAAGGUCUUCGGAUUGUAAAGCACUUUAAGUUGAGAGGCGUUACCAACAGAAUAAGCACCGGCUAACUUCGUGCCAGCAGCCGCGGUAAUUC
rnacentral:rRNA from 1 species